CCUACGGGAGGCUGCAGUGGGGAAUCUUGCACAAUGGACGAAAGUCUGAUGCAGCGAUUCCGCGUGGAGGAUGAAGCAUCAUGGUGUGUAAACUCCUUUUCUGGUAGAAGACGAAUGACGGUAUACCAGGAAUAAGGGACGGCUAACUACGUGCCAGCAGCCGCGGUAAUACGUAGGUCCCGAGCGUUAUCCGGAAUUACUGGGCGUAAAGUGUCCGUAGCCUGAUAUUUAAGUCUAUUUUCAAAUAUCUCAGCUCAACUGAGAGAAGGGAAUAGAUACUGUAUAUCUGGAGGUCUUUGGAGGUUAGUGGAAUUUCCGGUGGAGCGGUGAAAUGCGUUGAUAUCGGAAAGAAUGCCGAAAGCGAAAGCAGCUAACUACAGAGAACCUGACGGUGAUGGACGAAAGUCUGGGGAGCAAACGGGAUUAGAUACCCGUGUAGUC
rnacentral:rRNA from 1 species